rnacentral:ncRNA from 2 species
ACCCCACAGGUUCGCAAACUCCCUGUAUAAAAAACUAAGGAGAA